UACAGAGGUGGCAAGCGUUGUUCGGAAUUACUGGGCGUAAAGGGCGCGUAGGCGGCCUCCUAAGUCAGACGUGAAAUCCCUCGGCUCAACCGAGGAACUGCGUCUGAUACUGGAAGGCUUGAAUCCGGGAGAGGGAUGUGGAAUUCCAGGUGUAGCGGUGAAAUGCGUAGAUAUCUGGAGGAACACCGGUGGCGAAGGCGGCAUCCUGGACCGGUAUUGACGCUGAGGCGCGAAAGCUAGGGGAGCAAACGGG
rnacentral:rRNA from 1 species